GACGAACGCUGGCGGCGUGCUUAACACAUGCAAGUCGAACGGUGAAAGCGGAGCUUGCUCCGCUGGAUCAGUGGCGAACGGGUGAGUAACACGUGGGCAACCUGCCCCAGACUUCGGGAUAACUCCUCGAAAGAGGUGCUAAUACCGGAUACGAAGCCCCCAGGCAUCUGGGGGCUUGGACAGUUUUUCGGUCUGGGAUGGGCCCGCGGCCUAUCAGCUUGUUGGUGAGGUAACGGCUCACCAAGGCGACGACGGGUAGCCGGCCUGAGAGGGCGACCGGCCACACUGGGACUGAGACACGGCCCAGACUCCUACGGGAGGCAGCAGUGGGGAAUAUUGCGCAAUGGGCGAAAGCCUGACGCAACAACGCCGCGUGAGGGAUGACGGCCUUCGGGUUGUAAACCUCUUUCAGCAGGGAAGAAGCGAAAGUGACGGUACCUGCAGAAGAAGCACCGGCUAACUACGUGCCAGCAGCCGCCGUAA
rnacentral:rRNA from 1 species